CAUGUCACAAUAAACAUAUUAUGUUUUUUUCAAAGUUACACUAUAGUCUGUUUUUUUUCAAUCAGAACCCAUGUAUCUAUGAGUUUAUUGCUACUCCAUGUAUAUAUGUGGAAAGGGUGAGAAAAGUGUCACCAUUAGGAAAAAAUGUUCAGUCAAAAAUCACAAUAAAUAUGUUCAGCAGCUAUGACGACUUUGCGCAUGCUAAUCCCCGAUGUGGCAAGGCUGUAUACCUAUACUGAUAGACGGAUGCAGAAAUAAUUUCAAGCCCGCAGAUUUGGAACUACUUCAAUUAUAGUCAUGUAGACCAUCCACAGAAUACGUGCAAAUAUCAGCUUGGUGAAAUACUCCUACAAAAGUCCUACAGGAAAUGACGGUCUUGUCAUGAUUUGCUCUAUAGUUGGCUGGUGGGUUUUAUGAUUCUGCUUAAAUUUGGCGUGAUAGCAUAUUCAAGUGUUUUGUUACCAAAUUUAUGAAAGAGCACCGGUGAACCGGCCUAGGGCCGAAAACCUUGUUAAUAAAAACACUAAUAAUGAACAAUUGACUAAAAAGCAACUGGCCAUUGAAGAAUUAAACCUAUCAGAUUCCUCCUAACUCUUUUUAUAUGUUCAAGCACAAAGUUCACAAAGUUCGAAUUAAUAUAUAAGUGUACUAAAUACUUGUCAUUUUAUGAAUAAACGAAUGAAAAUUCAAUGUAAAGAUGUAAUAUAUUCAAUUUAUUUGA